UGCUAUCAUGCAGUCGAACGCGUCCUCGCUGAUGAAGUUGAAGUGCUUGCACGGAUUCUGAUUCAACAUUUGGACGAGUGGCGAACUGGUGAGUAACACGUGGGUAACCUGCCCUCAAGCAGGGGAUAACACUUGGAAACAGGUGCUAAUACCGUAUAACAAUGAAAACCGCAUGGUUUUCAUUUGAAAGAUGGUUUCGGCUAUCACUUGAGGAUGGACCCGCGGCGUAUUAGCUAGUUGGUGAGGUAACGGCUCACCAAGGCAAUGAUACGUAGCCGACCUGAGAGGGUAAUCGGCCACAUUGGGACUGAGACACGGCCCAAACUCCUACGGGAGGCAGCAGUAGGGAAUCUUCCACAAUGGACGAAAGUCUGAUGGAGCAACGCCGCGUGAGUGAAGAAGGGUUUCGGCUCGUAAAACUCUGUUGUUAAAGAAGAACAGGUGUAAGAGUAACUGUUUACACCGUGACGGUAUUUAACCAGAAAGCCACGGCUAACUACGUGCCAGCAGCCGCGGUAAUACGUAGGUGGCAAGCGUUGUCCGGAUUUAUUGGG
rnacentral:rRNA from 1 species